ACAGCAGUAGCCGCGGGAAUACAGAGGGUGCGAGCGUUAAUCGGAUUUACUGGGCGUAAAGCGUGCGUAGGCGGCUAAUUGAGUUGGAUGUGAAAUCCCCGAGCUUAACUUGGGAAUUGCAUUCGAUACUGGUUAGCUAGAGUGUGGGAGAGGAUGGUAGAAUUCCAGGUGUAGCGGUGAAAUGCGUAGAGAUCUGGAGGAAUACCGAUGGCGAAGGCAGCCAUCUGGCCUAACACUGACGCUGAGGUACGAAAGCAUGGGGAGCAAACAGGAUUAGAUACCCCAGUAGUCCCUGUCUCUUAUAA
rnacentral:rRNA from 1 species